rnacentral:rRNA from 1 species
AAAGCUCAAAUUUAAAAUCUGGCGGCCCUUGUGGCUGUCCGAGUUGUAAUCUAGAGAAGUGCUAUCCGCGCUGGACCGUGUACAAGUCUCCUGGAAUGGAGCGUCAUAGAGGGUGAGAAUCCCGUCUUUGACACGGACUGCCAGGGCUUUUGUGAUGCGCUCUCAAAGAGUCGAGUUGUUUGGGAAUGCAGCUCUAAAUGGGUGGUAAAUUCCAUCUAAAGCUAAAUAUAGGCGAGAGACCGAUAGCGAA